rnacentral:rRNA from 1 species
UACGUAGGUGACAAGCGUUGUCCGGAUUUACUGGGCGUAAAGAGCGCGCAGGCGGUCGAUCAAGUCGAGUGUGAAAGCCCCCGGCUCAACUGGGGAGGGUCAUUCGAUACUGAUCGACUCGAAGGCAGGAGAGGGUAGUGGAAUUCCCGGUGUAGUGGUGAAAUGCGUAGAUAUCGUGAGGAAGACCAGUGGCGAAGGCGGUUGCCUGGAGCUUUGCUGACGCUGAUGCGCGAAAGCUAGGGGAGCAAACGGG